UACGGAGGGUGCGAGCGUUGUCCGGAAUCACUGGGCGUAAAGGGCGCGUAGGCGGCCCGGUAAGUAGGGGGUGAAAUCCUGCGGCUUAACCGCAGGGCUGCCUUCUAAACUGUCGGGCUCGAGCACGGUAGAGGCAGAUGGAAUUCCCGGUGUAGCGGUGGAAUGCGUAGAGAUCGGGAAGAACAUCAGUGGCGAAGGCGGUCUGCUGGGCCGUUGCUGACGCUGAGGCGCGACAGCGUGGGGAGCAAACAGG
rnacentral:rRNA from 1 species